rnacentral:lncRNA from 1 species
UCAAAUCCAAGCUUCACAUGGAGGAGUUUGUUAUCUGCAAGAGAAAUGGUCUGUAAAGUAAUGUGAUGGGUUAUUGGCAAUGGAGACCGAGUGCAGGUGUGGCAAGAUCCAUGGUUACCGAGGGAGAAUGAUUGUUAUGUUCAAAGCCCCUGUGUUCCUAGAUUUGAAUAUAUGCAAUUCUCGGAUCUCAUGAAUGAAUAUCGCUUGAGUUGGAAUGUUGAUAUGAUGAAGGGUUUACUCAUUGAGGAGGAGGCGGAGCUUGGUUUGAGUAUUC